GACGAACGCUGGCGGCGUGCUUAACACAUGCAAGUCGAACGGAAAGGGCCUGCUUUGGUGGGGUGCUCGAGUGGCGAACGGGUGAGUAACACGUGAGUAACCUGCCCUUGAGUGUGGGAUAACUUCAGGAAACUGGGGCUAAUACCGGAUAGGAGCUGCUGUUGCAUGGGGGGGACUGGAAAGUUUCGACGGUUGGGGUUGGACUCGCGGCUUAUCAGCUUGUUGGAGGGGUAGUGGCUUAGCAAGGCUAUGGCGGGUAGCCGGCCUGAGAGGGUGACCGGCCACAUUGGGACUGAGGUGCGGCCCAGACUCCUACGGGAGGCAGCAGUGGGGAAUAUUGCACAAUGGGCGGCAGCCUGAUGCAGCAACGCCGCGUGCUGGAUGACGGCUUUCGGGUUGUAACCCGCUUUCGCCUGUGACGAAGCGUGAGUGACGGUAAUGUGUAAAGAAGCACCGGCUAACUACGUG
rnacentral:rRNA from 1 species